UACGUAGGUCCCGAGCGUUGUCCGGAUUUAUUGGGCGUAAAGCGAGCGCAGGUGGUUUAUUAAGUCUGGUGUAAAAGGCAGUGGCUCAACCAUUGUAUGCAUUGGAAACUGGUAGACUUGAGUGCAGGAGAGGAGAGUGGAAUUCCAUGUGUAGCGGUGAAAUGCGUAGAUAUAUGGAGGAACACCGGUGGCGAAAGCGGCUCUCUGGCCUGUAACUGACACUGAGGCUUGAAAGCGUGGGUAGCAAACAGG
rnacentral:rRNA from 1 species